GGGAGGCAGCAGUGGGGAAUAUUGCACAAUGGGCGCAAGCCUGAUGCAGCCAUGCCGCGUGUAUGAAGAAGGCCUUCGGGUUGUAAAGUACUUUCAGCGGGGAGGAAGGGAGUAAAGUUAAUACCUUUGCUCAUUGACGUUACCCGCAGAAGAAGCACCGGCUAACUCCGUGCCAGCAGCCGCGGUAAU
rnacentral:rRNA from 1 species